AUUGAACGCUGGCGGAAUGCUUUACACAUGCAAGUCGAACGGCAGCACGGGGGCAACCCUGGUGGCGAGUGGCGAACGGGUGAGUAAUACAUCGGAACGUGCCCAGCCGUGGGGGAUAACGUAGCGAAAGUUACGCUAAUACCGCAUACGAUCUACGGAUGAAAGCGGGGGACCGUAAGGCCUCGCGCGAUUGGAGCGGCCGAUGUCAGAUUAGGUAGUUGGUGCGGUAAAGGCUCACCAAGCCGACGAUCUGUAGCUGGUCUGAGAGGACGACCAGCCACACUGUGACUGAGACACGGCCCAGACUCCUACGGGAGGCAGCAGUGGGGAAUUUUGGACAAUGGGCGCAAGCCUGAUCCAGCCAUUCCGCGUGCAGGACGAAGGCCUUCGGGUUGUAAACUGCUUUUGUACGGAACGAAAAGGCUCUGGUUAAUACCUGGGGCUCAUGACGGUACCGUAAGAAUAAGCACCGGCUAACUACGUGCCAGCAGCCGCCGUAA
rnacentral:rRNA from 1 species